GCAAAGAUUUCGAAGCCCGUCCAGAAGAGGAUGACCACAGCUUGGGAGGUGAAUCGCAUUUGCGAACAGUACCGUCGUUUCGUCCUUUCCGCACAUGACCGUGGCGUGUUGAACGGAAAGGAGACCG
rnacentral:sRNA from 14 species